rnacentral:rRNA from 1 species
GACGAACGCUGGCGGCGUGCCUAAUACAUGCAAGUAGAACGCUGAAGAGAGGAGCUUGCUCUUCUUGGAUGAGUUGCGAACGGGUGAGUAACGCGUAGGUAACCUGCCUUGUAGCGGGGGAUAACUAUUGGAAACGAUAGCUAAUACCGCAUAGCAAUGGAUGACACAUGUCAUUUAUUUGAAAGGGGCAAUUGCUCCACUACAAGAUGGACCUGCGUUGUAUUAGCUAGUAGGUGAGGUAACGGCUCACCUAGGCGACGAUACAUAGCCGACCUGAGAGGGUGAUCGGCCACACUGGGACUGAGACACGGCCCAGACUCCUACGGGAGGCAGCAGUAGGGAAUCUUCGGCAAUGGGGGCAACCCUGACCGAGCAACGCCGCGUGAGUGAAGAAGGUUUUCGGAUCGUAAAGCUCUGUUGUAAGUCAAGAACGAGUGUGAGAGUGGAAAAUUCACACUGUGACGGUAGCUUACCAGAAAGGGACGGCUAACUACGUGCCAGCAGCCGCGGUAAUACGUAGGUCCCGAGCGUUGUCCGGAUUUAUUGGGCGUAAAGCGAGCGCAGGCGGUUUGAUAAGUCUGAAGUUAAAGGCUGUGGCUCAACCAUAGUUCGCUUUGGAAACUGUCAAACUUGAGUGCAGAAGGGGAGAGUGGAAUUCCAUGUGUAGCGGUGAAAUGCGUAGAUAUAUGGAGGAACACCGGUGGCGAAAGCGGCUCUCUGGUCUGUAACUGACGCUGAGGCUCGAAAGCGUGGGGAGCGAACAGGAUUAGAUACCCUGGUAGUCCACGCCGUAAACGAUGAGUGCUAGGUGUUGGAUCCUUUCCGGGAUUCAGUGCCGCAGCUAACGCAUUAAGCACUCCGCCUGGGGAGUACGACCGCAAGGUUGAAACUCAAAGGAAUUGACGGGGGCCCGCACAAGCGGUGGAGCAUGUGGUUUAAUUCGAAGCAACGCGAAGAACCUUACCAGGUCUUGACAUCCCGAUGCUAUUUCUAGAGAUAGAAAGUUACUUCGGUACAUCGGUGACAGGUGGUGCAUGGUUGUCGUCAGCUCGUGUCGUGAGAUGUUGGGUUAAGUCCCGCAACGAGCGCAACCCCUAUUGUUAGUUGCCAUCAUUCAGUUGGGCACUCUAGCGAGACUGCCGGUAAUAAACCGGAGGAAGGUGGGGAUGACGUCAAAUCAUCAUGCCCCUUAUGACCUGGGCUACACACGUGCUACAAUGGUUGGUACAACGAGUUGCGAGUCGGUGACGGCAAGCUAAUCUCUUAAAGCCAAUCUCAGUUCGGAUUGUAGGCUGCAACUCGCCUACAUGAAGUCGGAAUCGCUAGUAAUCGCGGAUCAGCACGCCGCGGUGAAUACGUUCCCGGGCCU